rnacentral:rRNA from 1 species
AGGGUGUAAACGCUGCAGACUUGGUGUUGGAAGCCCUUUGGGGGCAUUCAGUGCCGGAGAGAAGUUGUUAAGUCUGCUACUUGGGGAGUACGUCCGCAAGGAUGAAACUUAAAGGAAUUGGCGGGGGAGCACCGCAACGGGAGGAGCGUGCGGUUUAAUUGGAUUCAACACCGGAAAACUCACCAGGGGAGACUGUUACAUGAAACCCAGACUAAUGAUCUUGGUUGAUUUUCAGAGAGGAGGUGCAUGGCGUCAGUGACU